rnacentral:rRNA from 1 species
GAUGAACGCUGACAGAAUGCUUAACACAUGCAAGUCUUUGGCGAAGCUGUGCUUGCACAGCCUAGCCAAGGCGGACGGGUGAGUAACGCGUAAGGAACUUGCCCUGCAGUCAGGGAUAACAGACGGAAACGACUGAUAAGACCUGGUAAAGUCAGGCGGACUCAUGUCCAGCCUGAUGAAAAGUGAUGCUGCAGGAGAGCCUUGCGUCCUAUUAGCUUGUUGGUGGGGUAACGGCCCACCAAGGCGAUGAUAGGUAGCCGGCCUGAGAGGGUGGACGGCCACAAGGGGACUGAGAUACGGCCCUUACUCCUACGGGAGGCAGCAGUGGGGAAUAUUGGACAAUGGGGGCAACCCUGAUCCAGCAAUCCUGUGUGCACGAUGAAGGUUUUCGGAUUGUAAAGUGCUUUCAGCAGGGAAGAAAAAAAUGACGGUACCUGCAGAAGAAGCGACGGCUAAAUACGUG